ACUGGCUGUGAUGACAUACUUGCCCUCACUGAGAUCAGGCAUGAUUGAGACAAUUUAUAUUCCUGAGCCACA